GUGAACAAAACGACCGUGUGUGUGUGUGUGACAAACGUCCGUGUGUGUGUGUGAACAAAACGACCGUGUGUGUGUGUGUGAACAAAACGACCGUGUGUGUGUGAACAAAACGACCGACCGUGUGUGUGUGUGUGUGUGUGUGAACAAAACGACUGUGUGUGUGUGUGUGUGAAACAAAACGACCGUGUGUGUGUGUGUGUGAACAAAACGACCGUGUGUGUGUGUGUGAGAACAAAACGACCGUGUGUGUGUGUGUGUGAGAACAAAACGACCGUGUGUGUGUGUGUGAGAACAAAACGACCGUGUGUGUGUGUGAACAAAACGACCGUGUGUGUGUGUGAGAACAAAACGAACCUGUGUGUGUGUGUGAGAACAAAACGACCGUGUGUGUGUGUGUGUGUGUGUGAAAAAAACGACCGUGUGUGUGUGUGUGAACAAAACGACCGUGUGUGUGUGUGUGAGAACAAAAGGACCGUGUGUGUGUGUGUGAGAACAAAAGGACCGUGUGUGUGUGUGUGUGUGAGAACAAAAGGACCGUGUGUGUGUGUGUGUGUGAGAACAAAAGGACCGUGUGUGUGUGUGUGAGAACAAAAGGACCGUGUCUGUGUGUGUGUGAGAACAAAAGGACCGUGUGUGUGUGUGAACAAAAGGACCGUGUGUGUGUGUG
rnacentral:lncRNA from 1 species